rfam:Larimichthys crocea isolate SSNF unplaced genomic scaffold scaffold352, whole genome shotgun sequence.
UGCAAGGCUCUUUUCAGAGCCACUGGAGUCUCAGAGAUGCUAAUCUU